rnacentral:piRNA from 1 species
UNGUACUGCUGCAGAAGACCUCAGCACUGG